CGGGACGGGUGAGUAAUGUCUGGGAAACUGCCUGAUGGAGGGGGGUAACUACUGGAAACGGUAGCUAAUACCGCAUAACGUCGCAAGACCAAAGAGGGGGACCUUCGGGCCUCUUGCCAUCGGAUGUGCCCAGAUGGGAUUAGCUAGUAGGUGGGGUAACGACUCACCUAGGCGACGAUCCCUAGCUGGUCUGAGAGGAUGACCAGCCACACUGGAACUGAGACACGGUCCAG
rnacentral:rRNA from 1 species